UAUUUAAAUUUUGAAAAGUUAUAGACUACUUAAUUGUAAUUUUUUAAUUCCUUUUUAGAUUUCUCUUCAAAGUGGAAUGUCUAGUCCUGAAAGUAAUCCCACCAUAACCGUAAAGUUUACAAUCAAUCAGCUGGCUAUUUCUGGAUUAAAAGUAAACCGUUUGGACAUGUAUGGCGAA